CAGCCGCCGCGGGAAUACGAAGGGUGCUAGCGUUGUUCGGAAUCACUGGGCGUAAAGCGCGCGUAGGCGGCUUAGCAAGUCAGGGGUGAAAUGCACAGCUCAACUGUGGAACUGCCUUUGAAACUGCUAAGCUAGAGUGUCGGAGGGGAUAGCGGAAUUGCUAAUGUAGAGGUGAAAUUCGUAGAUAUUAGCAGGAACACCGGUGGCGAAGGCGGCUAUCUGGACGACAACUGACGCUUAGGCGCGAAAGCACGGGGAUCAAACAGGAUUAGAUACCCGCGUAGUCCCUGUCUCUUAUACC
rnacentral:rRNA from 1 species